GAUGAACGCUGGCGGCGUGCCUAAUACAUGCAAGUCGAGCGAACGGACGAGAAGCUUGCUUCUCUGAUGUUAGCGGCGGACGGGUGAGUAACACGUGGAUAACCUACCUAUAAGACUGGGAUAACUUCGGGAAACCGUAGCUAAUACCGGAUAAUAUUUUGAACCGCAUGGUUCAAAAGUGAAAGACGGUCUUGCUGUCACUUAUAGAUGGAUCUGCGCUGCAUUAGCUAGUUGGUAAGGUAACGGCUUACCAAGGCAACGAUGCAUAGCCGACCUGAGAGGGUGAUCGGCCACCCUGGAACUGAGACACGGUCCAGACUCCUACGGGAGGCAGCAGUAGGGAAUCUUCCGCAAUGGUCGAAAGCCUGACGGAGCAACGCCGCGUGAGUGAUGAAGGUCUUCGGAUCGUAAAACUCUGUUAUUAGGGAAGAACAUAUGUGUAAGUAACUGUGCACAUCUUGACGGUACCUAAUCAGAAAGCCACGGCCAACUACGUG
rnacentral:rRNA from 1 species